GGGUAACGGAGGAUAAGGGUUCGACUCCGGAGAAGGGGCCUGAGAAAUGACCACUACGUCUAAGGAUGGCAGCAGGCGCGCAAAUUACCCACUCUCAGAACGAGGAGGUAGUGACGAGAAAUAACAAGACCGUUCUCUUCAGAGGCCGGUCAUUGGAAUGGGUACAAUUUAAACCCUUUAACGAGUAUCUAUGAGAGGGCAAGUCUGGUGCCAGCAGCCGCGGUAACUCCAGCUCUCAAAAUGCAUAGAAUCAUUGCUGCGGUUAAAAAGCUCGUAGUUGGAUCUGUGCUGGCGGGUCGGUCCACCUUCGGGUGCGCACUGAUUUCGCCGGCUUUCCUGCUGUAUUUGGCCCUGUGCCUUUCAACGGGUGCAGUGUCCAGUGCAGCAAGUUUACCUUGAACAAAUCAGAGUGCUUCAAACAGGCGUUUCGCUUGAAUGUUCGUGCAUGGAAUAAUAGAAGAGGAUUUCGGUUCUAUUUUAUUGGUUUUAUAGACUGAGAUAAUGGUUAACAGAGACUAACGGGGGCAUUAGUAUUGCUACGUGAGAGGUGAAAUUCUUGGACCGUAGCAAGACUGACUACAGCGAAAGCAUUUGCCAAGAAAGUCUUCAUUAAUCAAGAACGAAAGUCAGAGGUUCGAAGGCGAUCAGAUACCGCCCUAGUUCUGACCGUAAACGAUGCCAACUAGUGAUCCGCCGGUGGAACAUUCGCCCUGGUGGGGAACUUCCCGGAAACGAAAGUCUUCCGGUUCCGGGGGAAGUAUGGUUGCAAAGCUGAACCUUAAAGGAAUUGACGGAAGGGCACCACCAGGAGUGGAGCCUGCGGCUUAAUUUGACCCAACACGGGAAAACUCACCCGGCCCGGACACCGUAAGGAUUGACAGAUUGAUAGCUCUUUCAUGAUUCGGUGGAUGGUGGUGCAUGGCCGUUCUUAGUUCGUGGAGCGAUUUGUCUGGUUUAUUCCGAUAACGAGCGAGACUCUGGCCUACUAAAUAGUUUACACAUUGCUUCUGUGUGCAUAACUUCUUAGAGGGAUUUUCGGUGUUCAGCCGCAAGAAAUUGAGCAAUAACAGGUCUGUGAUGCCCUUAGAUGUCCGGGGCUGCACGCGCGCUACACUGGCAAAAUCAGCGUGCUUGUCCUUCCCCGAAAGGGGUUGGUAAACUCGUGAAAAUUUGCCGUGAUUGGGAUCGGAAAUUGCAAUUAUUUUCCGUGAACGAGGAAUUCCAAGUAAGUGCGAGUCAUCAACUCGCGUUGAUUACGUCCCUGCCCUUUGUACACACCGCCCGUCGCUGCCCGGGACUGAGCCGUUUCGAGAAACUUGGAGACCGCUGAUCUGGUAACUUCGAUCGCC
rnacentral:rRNA from 1 species